AAAAAAAAAUUCAUGCAAAACAUACGAUCUGUUCUUGAACCUGAGAGGAAAGUUUGAUAGUUUAUAGGAUUUGCGUAUCUUGCUUUCUUGUAAUAAUUUUCUUUUUCAAAAUUUCAAGGGGAUACAAGCUGCUUAGUCAAUUAUUCCAUUUGUUGGAAAGAUUAUUGUGACGGAUGAGAUUGUGUUGUGGAACAGCUUAUGGUUAGAUUUUUUCCCCUUCUCUCUCUGUUAACCUACCAUUCUUCUGCUUAUAUCCUUGUUUGAGUUG
rnacentral:misc_RNA from 1 species